CUACGGGUCGCAGCAGUGAGGAAUUUUGCGCAAUGGGGGAAACCCUGACGCAGCAACGCCGCGUGAGCGAAGAAGGCCUUCGGGUCGUAAAGCUCUGUCAAGUGGGAAAAAAAUUCUUUGAUGAACAGUCAAAGGACUUGAUGGUACCACUGGAGGAAGCACCGGCUAACUCCGUGCCAGCAGCCGCGGUAAUACGGAGGGUGCAAGCGUUGUUCGGAAUUACUGGGCGUAAAGAGCGUGUAGGCGGUUUGACAAGUCAGAUGGGAAAGCCCCGGGCUCAACCCGGGAAGUGCAUUUGAAACUGUUUCACUAGAGUAUGGGAGAGGAGAUUGGAAUUCCUGGUGUAGAGGUGAAAUUCGUAGAUAUCAGGAGGAACACCCGUGGCGAAGGCGAUUCUCUGGACCAAUACUGACGCUGAGACGCGAAAGCGUGGGGAGCAAACAGGAUUAGAUACCCGUGUAGUC
rnacentral:rRNA from 1 species